GAAAGAGAAGAAGAGCUGCUGUACAGUUAUUCCAAUUCGAAAAAGAAAAGGAGCUGAAAACGAUUUCUGACACGGAACAAUGGCACAACAGAACCAGUCACAUUUCUCCAUAAAGGCAGAGAAUAUAAAAACAACUUUGAUAACAUUGAUUAAAUUUCCAAAUGAAUCCAAGUGCCCUCUUUGUAAAAAGCACAGAGACUACAGCAUCCUGCUACGUCACCUUCAGAGUCAUGAAGGCCACAUUGUCAAGUAUGCAGCAUACUGUCCAUAGUGGUUUUGAAGUUCCAGAAACGCCUACCUUUCAAAAUCCAGAUCAUUUAAAUGUAUGUUUAUAAUGGUUUGCAUAAAUAUUUUUGUAACAUUAAACUCCUUUUAGAAUGACAUGCUGGCUUUGUGGAAGAGCUGGUGUAGAAUGUUACUUGAGAACUCCAGCACCAAGGGGUAAAUGAAAUUUAAAUUUCCUUUAAUAACUCUAAUUUAGUUCUGCGGCAAUAUGGCAAAUAUACUUAGCCAUAUUGUAAAUCAAAGACGAAUAGUCCAAAUGUUUACCAUUAUAAACUUAGUGCUUCUUUUUGAAAUCACUGAAGUAACUGCUCACAUCAGACUGAGUGAGCAAACGCCCUUCUAAAUGAAGGCCAAGAACCAAACAAAAAAUUAGAAGGUACAGAAACAAUGGACAGCCAGGACAGGGUCAUUUUUUGUGCUUAUUCUUUUGGUUCUUUUUUAACAUUUCCUUAGGUAA